CCCAACCCCAACCCCAUCUCAUCCCCAUCCCCAUCCCAUCCCCAUCCCCAUCCAGCCGCCAAUGACCACCUCCCUCUCCGACAACCGGCGAGCUCCCCACUCCCAGACUCGUCGGCGACCUUCCGGCCUCCGCCUUCUACGCCACCCUUCUCUCCCUACACCCCAGAUCGAAUCCAGCAGCUCAGGACGAAACCCUAGCUCGAUGCCAUGGCCACACCAGCAGCAGUCCCUCCCUCCCUAGCCCGCGGCCAUGGCGACCUAGCAGGCAAGAGGAACCUGAACCCUAUCACCGGCCAUGGCGAGCGUGGAAGGCACCAUGGGAGAGGAGGCAUGUGCUGCUGCUCAAGACCCUAAACCAGAAAGGAAGUAAUAAGCUGCUCCGACCCAUCUCAUCCUCUCAGAUUUCCUCAGAUUUGGUACAAGAAAAUGAUCCAGCUCAUUAGAGUAGUAUUUUUCUGCGACGUUGCCUAUUUUGUUGUUGAACUGGCCCUAUUAUUCUGUCAAAUGAGUCUUUUUGUUUUUCCUUCUUUGAAAUGAAGCAUAUUGCUUUCGAGUGCUAGACAUCACGGAGCUGUUCUAUUCUUUUGAAUGACUUGUAAGAAGGAGCCAACCAUUUGCCAGCUCUAUUAUAGUUGUUCAAAACGAAAAAAAAACAGGUUCUUGCCUACCUGAAAGAUCUUUACAAAAAAAUGAUUUGUUAUUCGCAUGAUCUCAUCUGGUUUGGCGCCUCCCUACAAUCUCACUAGAGUACGACUACUAUUUUUCUCUGAAGUUGCCUAUUUUGUGUAUAGUGCUAGACAUUAUGAGCUGCUCUAUUCUAUUUUGUGUACAUCUAGUUUGCCUCUAUCAGUAUUCUUUUUAAGAAGGCCGCGCAUGUCUCUCCAAAAUCUUCAACUUUCGGUCUCGUAAUAUUUCUGUAGGCUCUUCCUCACCUCACCUUUUCUCUCUCCCUGAUCGAGCACCUUCGCCAUGGGAGAGGAAGGUUGUUUCAUCCGCCUGCUGUACUGCUGCUCUAGGGGACAUGCACCUGCUUGUUGUGCUGCUGCUCUGUACGCCAUGGACAUCCCUCCUCUGGUUCUCCUCGCUCGUCAAGGUAGUAAGCUGCUCUAACCCAUCUUCCCCUCUCAAAUUCGGUACAAGAAAAUGAUUUUUGUAACUGGACAUCAAAAGCAGAACCGGUGUGUGUUGUUGGUCAAGCAAGAAGAAAGAAAAAAGGCAUCCGUUGCCUGCAAAACAAAUCUGUGUGUGUGCUGCUCUCCUCCUCCUCUGUUUUUGCUUGUGUCAAUUUGCUCCAACAGCUUGCGCGCGUGUGUGCAUCCAUUGGGAGAGAGAGAGGCUCUUGCCAACACCUCUACAAUCUCACCGGAGUUCUAUUUUUCUGUGAUGUUGCCUAUUUUGUUGUUGAAAUUGACCGUAUCCCUGUGUCAAAUGGAUAUUUUUUCCUCCAUUGAAAUGAAGCAUAUUGCUUUUGAGUGCUCACAUUGACAUUACUGUGGAAUAAAAUGUUCAUUAUAUGCUCUUCUGUUGAAUAACGUGUAAAACAGGUCCAGCCAUUUGCCAAGUCUAUUAUAUUUGUUCUAAAAGAAAAGAAAAAAA
rnacentral:lncRNA from 1 species